rnacentral:rRNA from 1 species
UGGGGAAUAUUGCACAAUGGACGGAAGUUUGAUGCAGCGACGCCGCGUGGAGGGUGUAGGCCUUCGGGUUGUGAACUCCUUUUUCUCGCGAAAAAGGCACAGUUUUGGCUGUGUUGAUGGUAGUGGGGGAAGAAGCGCCGGCUAACUACGUGCCAGCAGCCGCGGUAAUACGUAGGGCGCGAGCGUUGUCCGGAUUUAUUUGGCGUAAAGAGCUCGUAGGUGGUUCGUCGCGUCUGUCGUGAAAGCCAGCAGAUUAACUGUUGGUCUGCGGUGGGUACGGGCGGGGUUGAGUGCGGUAGGGGUGACUGGAAUUCCUGGUGUAGCGUUGGAAUGCGCAGAUAUCAGGAGGAACACCGAUGGCGAAGGCAGGUCACUGGGCCGUUACUGACACUGAGGAGCGAAAGCGUGGGGAGCGAACAGG